GUGAGGGUCUCAGAUCAGAACUGUGAGGAAGACUUUUUAAAGCCUUUUAGGUUUUUGAACCAUGUGACUAUUAUAAUCUAUGCCCAAAAGAAGUUAAAUGAAAGCAGUGCGGGUCGCUGUGAGGAGGAUGGCCCGCGGGCCGGGCAGGAGUACAAGCAGGAGAUGGUUUGCAGUUUGGUGAAUACAGAGCCAACUUUAAGGAUAAUGGAGGAUCGCAAGUUCUUCAAGUUCCAGGGGUUUCUUCUUUUGUUUUGUUUUUAAGCUUGUAAACGAGAGAAAUUUAUUUCUCGCCGUUCUGGAGGCUGGAAGUCUGCGAACAGGGUGCCAUCAUGGUCAGAGGAGCAGGGUGUUUCUGAGCUGGGACAAAUGACAACACGUUUGUCUGCUGAUGGGAGCGAAAUCGGGAAAAUGGACCAGGAGAUGUGGAAGUCGGGCCCUCAAGGAGGCGAGGGGGGUGCAGACAGGGUAGAGUGGAGAGAGGCGGGUGGAAUUGAAUUGAAGCCGGGCCAGCUCGUCCUGGGAAAAGCAAGUUUGACUAUGUGACAUCUCCUCCAAAUUGUAAAAGACCGCUCUCCUGGUUUUUAUGCGUUGGCAGCUGUUCCGCAUAGCAUCAAAGCUCAAAGCAGGUCUUUGGACUGCCAGUUUCGUGUUGAUGUCGAUGAUAUGGCUUCCUUUAUGGACCUUAAUAAAGAGCUGAACAAACACAGGCGAUGUUUGUUCUCAGUGGUUGGGGCAAGAGGGAGAGGAGAGCGGUGGGUAGUUAAGACAACGAAUGUUUAGGAAGGAAGAGGAGCCCAUGGCGGGAACAGCUGUGACGCUGUGAUUUAUAAUAAAUAUAUAUUUGGUCUUUGUACCCCAUUUCUGGCACAGAACUCCUAAAACCCUUGGAAUUUCCUGUGAUGAGAGCAAUCAAGGCGUCUUUUGUUAUGUUAAUGAGGCGACUUGGAAAGCACCUCGGUCACCUAAGGUUGGGGGCUGGUUGCCAGGGGUCCCAACCAGGUACCUCAAGGGUUGGAAUUUUCAGUCCCACCUGCCCCUCCACCUCUGGGGAGGGGAGAGGGUCUGGAGGUUGAAUCGAUCGCCUAUAAUAGCCACUGGUUUAAUCAAUCGUGACCAUGUAAUGAAGCCUCCGUAAAAAGCCCAAAGGGAUGGAGGGCGUCCAGGUUGGUGAACUUGUGGAGAUGCAAGGAGAGUGGCGGCUCAGAGAGCAGGGAAGCUCCACGCCCUUUCCAUACCUUGCCCGAUGCAUCUCUUCCAUCUGGCUGUUCUCAGGUAGACGGUGACAGAAUCCAUGGAACUGUAGGACAUCCUGCUGGUGUUGGAGAAUUGCUUGGUGUCGGGGAAGGCGUCACAAGUCAGACUGGGUGCAGAACAGUCAGCAACCAGGGUUUCUUGGUACUUUGCUGCAAGCCUGUUUGCUGUAGACAUCUUUGCCACAAGUGUUUUCGCUGCAUAACCACUUGGCCCUAUGGCAAUUUUGCCGUAAAAGAUAAAAAUCACGAAAAAUAAAAGAGGGCCAUUCAUUCCAAAGGAUGCAACAAAACGUGAAAAAGAUGAAUAGCAAAAUUAAAAGGACUUUAUUGUGAAAUACAAAAGAUUUGAAUAGGUUUAAAAUAUGUGUCUGGAGAUUCACGGCAGUCCUGCCCAAAGAACCAGUUUUAUUUUGUGUGUGUGGAUUGCACCUCACUAAGCACCUUCCUUUGUUCCGUGGGACAUGUGGGUUCAACUCUGCCCCCUCGAAGAAGAGGCCUCGGCCCUCUUCUCCUCCUCCAAUAUAGUGUGAUUCAAAAUAAGAAACAACUCUUGGGGCAAAUCAUCGACACGGUCAGCUCGAUGAAGCCAUCAGUAAGACACUGACUGGAAGAAAUGCCAAGUAUUUUAGACCGCUACCGUCACCACCAUGUCUGCAGGUCACCGUGGAGACCACUCUGAGGGCUAGCCAAGAUUUAUAGCAUAUAAAAAUGGGAGGAACUGUGAGAACUUCGUCAAUGGAGAAGUGAAACCAAACUGGAAAAAAAAGACAAAACUGUCAACCAGUUAUGUUCUUUUCUUUUAUGGCGGUUGAUUCGUCAAUGGAGAAAUAAAAGGAAAAAAAAAAAAACCCAAACCGUCAAGCAGUUAUUUCUUUCUGUUUUAUGGCAAAAUUGCCUUACAGCCCAUUAGUUAAGCUACGAGAAUGGUUCCGGGGAAGACAUGGCAGCC
ensembl:lncRNA